UUCUUCGUGGUGUAGUGGUCAGAACACUGGACGUGUAUUUCAGAGGUCCGUGGUUCGAGUCCUGGCGAAGGCG
rnacentral:tRNA from 1 species